AGAAGUGUAAACAGGAGCCAGUAACAGGAGAAACUGGUGUCUGGAAUCUGAGCGAAAGUGGUCCGAAAGUCAAGGACUAGCCUGGCCAAGGAGAGACCACAGAGGCUUGGGACCAUGUACCUGCAUACUAAGGGUACCGCGACCACCACACCAGGACUCAGGUGCAGAUUGCACACCUGAAGGGAAGUGAGGUUGGAGCUGCAAGAGCUGUCACUGUCGGUGAGCAAAGCUAGAAGAGUUUGCCACUUGACAGAAAGAGAAUUUUAGGUGGGUCUUC
rnacentral:lncRNA from 1 species